rnacentral:rRNA from 1 species
CCUACGGGCGGCAGCAGUGAGGAAUAUUGGUCAAUGGACGAGAGUCUGAACCAGCCAAGUAGCGUGAAGGAUGACUGCCCUAUGGGUUGUAAACUUCUUUUAUAUGGGAGUAAAAUGUUCCACGUGUGGGAUUUUGUAUGUACCAUAUGAAUAAGGAUCGGCUAACUCCGUGCCAGCAGCCGCGGUAAUACGGAGGAUCCGAGCGUUAUCCGGAUUUAUUGGGUUUAAAGGGAGCGUAGGUGGAUUGUUAAGUCAGUUGUGAAAGUUUGCGGCUCAACCGUAAAAUUGCAGUUGAAACUGGCAGUCUUGAGUACAGUAGAGGUGGGCGGAAUUCGUGGUGUAGCGGUGAAAUGCUUAGAUAUCACGAAGAACUCCGAUUGCGAAGGCAGUUCACUGGACUGCAACUGACACUGAGGCGCGAAAGUGUGGGUAUCAAACAGGAUUAGAUACCCUGGUAGUC